rnacentral:rRNA from 1 species
CCUACGGGGGCAGCAGUGGGGAAUAUUGGACAAUGGGCGAAAGCCUGAUCCAGCCAUGCCGCGUGUGUGAAGAAGGCCUUCGGGUUGUAAAGCACUUUCAGUGGGGAAGAAAGCCUUGGGGCUAAUACCCUCGAGGAAGGACAUCACCCACAGAAGAAGCACCGGCUAACUCCGUGCCAGCAGCCGCGGUAAUACGGAGGGUGCGAGCGUUAAUCGGAAUUACUGGGCGUAAAGCGCGCGUAGGCGGUCUGAUAAGCCGGUUGUGAAAGCCCCGGGCUCAACCUGGGAACGGCAUCCGGAACUGUCAGGCUAGAGUGCAGGAGAGGAAGGUAGAAUUCCCGGUGUAGCGGUGAAAUGCGUAGAGAUCGGGAGGAAUACCAGUGGCGAAGGCGGCCUUCUGGACUGACACUGACGCUGAGGUGCGAAAGCGUGGGUAGCAAACAGGAUUAGAUACCCCAGUAUC